UACGUAGGGUGCGAGCGUUAAUCGGAAUUACUGGGCGUAAAGCGUGCGCAGGCGGUUCGUUGUGUCGGUGGUGAAAUCCCCGGGCUUAACCUGGGAAUGGCCAUGGAAACUGGCGAACUGGAGUGCGGCAGAGGGGGGUGGAAUUCCGCGUGUAGCAGUGAAAUGCGCAGAUAUCGGGAAGAACACCCGUGGCGAAGGCGGUUCUCUGGGACGGUACUGACGCUGAGACGCGAAAGCGUGGGGAGCGAACAGG
rnacentral:rRNA from 1 species